rnacentral:pre_miRNA from 2 species
GCUUCCCAAUAGGCCAUAGAGUAAGUCCCUACACCUAUGGGGAUCUAUGGAAUGUUGUGAAGUAUGU